rnacentral:rRNA from 1 species
CAACAGGGAUUCCCUUAGUAGCGGCGAGCGAAAAGGGAGUUAGCCCAGCGCCGAAUCCCACCCUCGAAAGGGGGUCGGGAAAUGUGGCGUUUAGGAGUGAGCGUGCCGGCGGUGGACUGUGCAGCAAGUCCCCCUGACCGGGGCUGUUGACCCAGAGUGGGUGCGAGGCCCAUAGCUGCUGGCGUCUCUGCCGGAUGCGAUCUCCUUGGAGUCGGGUUGCUUGGGAGUGCAGCCCUAAUCGGGUGGUAAACUCCACCUAAGGCUAAAUACGGCCGUGAGACCGAUAGCAAACAAGUACCGUGAGGGAAAGUUGCAAAGAACUUUGAAGAGAGAGUUCAAGAGUACGUGAAACUGCUCAGAGGUAAACGGGUGGGCCCUCGAAUUCCUGUGGCGGGGACAUUCAGUCGGGAGGCCGCGGACGCGCGUUGCGGAGUGACCGGAAUGGUUCCCAGGACUUGGGGCCGUCCGCGACGUGCGCUUUCGUGCCACCCGACGCAUUUGUCUCCCGUCCGAUGGACGCCGCGACCGGUUGGAUGACGGCCUUAAGGGCGGACGAUGGCAGGUGGCCGGUGGUGAUCAGUGCCGGCGUGUGCUUUCCGUCCGCCGGUUGUUAGCCGGUUUCCGUCGCACGGCCCGUGGUCCGACCGUGGUGUCGCGAGACCCCUAGUGGGACUCUUCGCCUCCUCCUCUGCGGGAUGCCCGGAAUUGGCGGCACGGGUCUUCUCCCCACCUGCGGGCGCACGGACUGACUCCGUGGCCCAGCUGUGCGGGAGUCCCGGUUGGUAGCCCUUUUACCGGUUGGAGUGUCGUGCGGUCGGCGGCGAGUAGAUCGGUCACCCACCCGGCCCGUCUUGAAACACGGACCAAGGAGUCUAACAUGUGUGCGAGUCAAUGGGACUUGUACAGGCCCAGGGGCGCAAUGAAAGCGAAGGCCGGAACUGACUUCCGGCUGUGUUGCGAUCCUCCCUUGUGCAGGGGGAGGCGCACCAACGGCCCGUCCCGUCCGAUUCAUCGGAGGGGCGGAGUUUGAGCAUACCCGUUGGGACCCGAAAGGUGGUGAACUAUGCCCGGGCAGGAGGAAACCAGAGGAAACUCUGAUGGAGGUCCGCAACGGUUUUGACGUGCAAAUCGAUUGUCAGACCCUGGUAUAGGGGCGUAAGACUAAUCGAACCAUCUAGUAGCUGGUUCCCUCCGAAGUUUCCCUCAGGAUAGCUGGCGCUCGUGGAAAUCAGUCUCAUCCGGUAAAGCGAAUGAUUAGAGGCCUUGGGGCCGAAACGACCUCAACCUAUUCUCAAACUUUAAAUGGGUGAGAAGUCCGCCUUGCAUGACUGAAGGCCGGACGUGACGGAUGAGAGUGCCCAGUGGGCCACUUUUGGUAAGCAGAACUGGCGCUGUGGGAUGAACCAAACGCCGGGUUAAGGCGCCCGAUGCGAGACGCUCAUGAGACCCCAUGAAAGGUGUUGGUUGCUCUAGACAGCAGGACGGUGGCCAUGGAAGUCGGAAUCCGCUAAGGAGUGUGUAACAACUCACCUGCCGAAGCAACUAGCCCUGAAAAUGGAUGGCGCUCCAGCGUCGAGCCCAUACCCGGCCGCUGCAUGCAGAUCUCCGGGAGGCUUAGGCCGCAGUGAGUAGGAGGGUCGCGUCGGCGUGCGUUGAAGGUGCCGGGCG